rnacentral:lncRNA from 1 species
GUGCUAGAUUUAUAUCUAUCUCCUAGACAUCAAGAUGAUAUCAAGUACUAGAAAGUAGAAAUAGGAAAUAAACAAUAUUUUCAUCAUAGACAACACUCUAAACCUUGGUUGAAAAUGUUAGUUUAAGAGUAAGAGAAGCUAAUAUAGUCCCCAUUUUAUAGCUUCAAGUAUUUAUAUUUCAAAUGUGAUAAAAAUAUACCCCUUAAAAGUUAAAUGUUAGAUAUUUGAAGCAAAGAUAUGACUGGC